rnacentral:rRNA from 1 species
CUGGAGGUAUCAGAAGUGCGAAUGCUGACAUAAGUAACGAUAAAGCGGGUGAAAAGCCCGCUCGCCGGAAGACCAAGGGUUCCUGUCCAACGUUAAUCGGGGCAGGGUGAGUCGACCCCUAAGGCGAGGCCGAAAGGCGUAGUCGAUGGGAAACAGGUUAAUAUUCCUGUACUUGGUGUUACUGCGAAGGGGGGACGGAGAAGGCUAUGUUGGCCGGGCGACGGUUGUCCCGGUUUAAGCGUGUAGGCUGGUUUUCCAGGCAA